UACAGAGGUGGCAAGCGUUGUUCGGAAUUACUGGGCGUAAAGGGCGCGUAGGCGGCCAUCUAAGUCAGACGUGAAAUCCCCCGGCUUAACCUGGGAACUGCGUCUGAUACUGGACGGCUAGAGUAUGGGAGAGGGAUGUAGAAUUCCAGGUGUAGCGGUGAAAUGCGUAGAUAUCUGGAGGAAAACCGGUGGCGAAGGGGGCAUCCUGGGACAUUUACUGACGCUGAGGCGCGACAGCGUGGGGAGCAAACAGG
rnacentral:rRNA from 1 species